UGCGAAUGGCUCAUUAAAUCAGUUAUCGUUUAUUUGAUAGUACCUUACUACUUGGAUAACCGUGGUAAUUCUAGAGCUAAUACAUGCUAAAAACCCCAACUUCGGGAGGGGUGUAUUUAUUAGAUAAAAAACCAAUGCCCUUCGGGGCUCCUUGGUGAAUCAUAAUAACUUAACGGAUCGCAUGGCCUUGCGCCGGCGACGGUUCAUUCAAAUUUCUGCCCUAUCAACUUUCGAUUGUAGGGUAUUGGCCUACAAUGGUAUCAACGGGUAACGGGGAAUUAGGGUUCGAUUCCGGAGAGGGAGCCUGAGAAACGGCUACCACAUCCAAGGAAGGCAGCAGGCGCGCAAAUUACCCAAUCCCGACGCGGGGAGGUAGUGACAAUAAAUACUGAUACAGGGCUCUUUUGGGUCUUGUAAUUGGAAUGAGUACAAUUUAAAUCCCUUAACGAGGAACAAUUGGAGGGCAAGUCUGGUGCCAGCAGCCGCGGUAAUUCCAGCUCCAAUAGCGUAUAUUAAAGUUGUUGCAGUUAAAAAGCUCGUAGUUGAACCUUGGGCCUGGCUGGCCGGUCCGCCUCACCGCGUGCACUGGUCCGGCCGGGCCUUUCCUUCUGGAGAGCCGCAUGCCCUUCACUGGGUGUGUCGGGGAACCAGGACUUUUACUUUGAAAAAAUUAGAGUGUUCAAAGCAGGCCUUUGCUCGAAUACAUUAGCAUGGAAUAAUAGAAUAGGACGUGCGGUCCUAUUUUGUUGGUUUCUAGGACCGCCGUAAUGAUUAAUAGGGAUAGUCGGGGGCAUCAGUAUUCAAUUGUCAGAGGUGAAAUUCUUGGAUUUAUUGAAGACUAACUACUGCGAAAGCAUUUGCCAAGGAUGUUUUCAUUAAUCAGUGAACGAAAGUUAGGGGAUCGAAGACGAUCAGAUACCGUCGUAGUCUUAACCGUAAACUAUGCCGACUAGGGAUCGGGCGAUGUUAUUAUUUUGACUCGCUCGGCACCUU
rnacentral:rRNA from 1 species